rnacentral:lncRNA from 1 species
AACUCGUUCAAAAUAGAGAUUUAACUAAUAUGGCACCAGGGGUGGCUCUUUGAGUAUCUUUUCAUCCUAUUAUCUUAUAACUCCGAAAAUUCUAAAAUAUUUAUUUUUUCAACCUUUUCGGCUUUUCAAUUAAAUUCCAUGUGGUAGCUUCACAUACUUACCGGACGACCGGGGUGGCAGCUCUUUCCUACAUGUGGUGGUAGUUUUCACACUCCUUUUUAGAUGUAACUCUUUCCACAUCUUUUAAACAUAGGAGUUCCUUUUUUUUAAAUAAUUUCAAACUCCCCUUAAAUUAGACAAUCUCACAAUUGAAAAUAAUUUUGACAAAUUUUAGUCUCUUAGCGAAUAUCCAUCUAUCAUAUCCAACACACACAACCGAGAUAGAUUAAUCAUAAAGAGAUCAAAUUUGAUUUCAAAAUUUUGAUGAAUAUAUGUAUUAAGAAAUCAUAUAUUAAAUUAUCGUCAAAAUAAUAAAAAGUGGAGUAAAACCGAUAAUUAAUAUGAAUUUAAUUCAAGAUGAAUUCUGGUUAAAACACUUUGAAAAAAUCUAAUCUUCCCAAAAUAAAGAUUUUCAAUCGUUUCCUUCCUCAAAAAAAAAUUUAAAUUUCCAAACACCUUUCCUCAAAUCAAUUUUAAAAAUAAAUCUCACACUCGAAAAUCAUCAUGUAAUGCAAUGAAGAAGAAAUAUGCAACAAGCACCAAACAAAGCAUUACAUAAUCAAUCAAAACAAAUUAAGAUAAAGAGUAAGGAAAGAUAUCACCUUUCCGAAUCCAAACUUGUCGGAUUCUUGGUUGUCUU